UGAAACUUAAUGAAAUUUAUACUGAAAAAAGUGACCGAGUUAUUUACAGCCAGUUACCAGCACAUUGAGUGACCCCUUGAUUCGACCGCAAAAAUAUUUUUACAGCAACACUUCCUUGUUUAUUUGAUUUUCAGUUGCUGCUAGCAACCAACUUAUGUUUACCAAAAAAAUUCAUUCGGACGUGUCCAUGAACGAUUUCCUGUAUAAUUUGGUGACAUUGCUCGGUGAAGAUAUGGAUUGUGUUUCUCGUAUCAUCAGAUCCGCACGAUACGAUACUAAUGCUGAAUGUCUUCUUACGAUAUUUACCGUAAACUGGUACCGCGUCAGGUUGUAUGAUUGUUGGAUUAUCAGCUAGUGGAUGUAGCCGUCGUUAUCUCUAUAGCAAGGGUUAUCAUAUCCGCGUUCUACAGUCCAAAUGGCAAAUUAAUAGCCUCUGGUUCGUCCAACAGAACAAUUUAUAUAUAGAAUCAUUUUCAUUUAUAUCUUUAUUGGCUAAGACAACGUCUGUGUCAAUUUGCCGUUAUUAAUAUUUCAGCUAUAACGUACCAAAAAUUGUUGCAGAUCAACGUAUGAUUGGCUAAUUCCACUACAUUCUAGAGCGAGAAGGUCUGAAGAAAAUGUUCGCCAACUAGAACCGGCUGAAUCAGAUAGAUCUAGCCGAAAUUCAAAAGCCCAGAUGUAGAUUUCACCGCUCAUCUAGCGAAGAAAUUGUAUUGGCAUGUAUAAUGUGAUGAAUAUUUUUAUGCUACUGUCAUUUACUUCUAGAUAUCAUCGAUAUAGGUUACUCUUUAGUAUGUUUGCAAAAACGAUCGCUUUUUAUAAAUGAACAGAGUGGGCAAUCUCUUCUAUGAAUAUAGUGAACGUUUUGAAAUAAUU